rnacentral:lncRNA from 1 species
AGGAACGCAAGCAGCCAUCGUUGCUGGGGUGUCUCUGUCCCUCGCCCCGAGGCCCGCACCGCCCUCCUAGCGAUUAUUUUCGACGCCCGCCCUCCUGAGCCUCCUGAGUCGGCUGCCAGAGCGAGGGCCCGUCUCCCGCCGCCACUCGCGAUUUAUUUACACCUCGCAGGUGAGAGGAUUGAUUUGCUCAGUGCCAGGGGGGCCGGGCUGGGCCGGGGCGCGGGGCCUGCUCAUCGCUGCUGCUCGGGCCGGGCCUCAAAUGUCAGUGCGGCCAGGCCGGCCGGGGGCACCGCCGCCGCCUCUAACAUUGAGCAACAGCGCCACCUCGCGUCCACUUGCUCCAAUGCAGGCCGACCAGGAAAAAGCCAACAGCUAGAGCAAGCAGGUCCCCAAGGCUUGACCCAAAGGUGGGAAGUGGGAAGAAGGAGUUUCCAACAGCGUGCGCGCACGAGAGGGGUCCCUGGAAGGGGUUCCCUCCGCCUCCGGCCGCUGUACUUUUGUUUUCUAAAUUCUCGAAAGAAACCUUGUCAAAGGCUUCACACUAUUUUCUCUUUUUGUCACCCUCCCUCCCCGCACUGUGCAAAAGAACUGCCGCGAUUUCCCCCGCAUUCAGGCGCAUUUCUGGCCUCGGAACACCUCCGCGCCCGCAGAUGCACGCUCCGAAGCUCCCACGACCGCCUGCCCCCGGCGCGCACUCUAAAACUCCUCGGCCCUCUUACCCUGCUGCUGGCUCCGCAUCGCCUAUUCGCCGCCGCCCGCAGGACUUUGGGGUGGGACUCUGACUUCUCCCGGCUGUUUGCCCCCUGGUUUGUAGCCCAUCCCUCUCUCUCACGCGCGCUCUCUCGCCACCUCUCCCUCCCAGCCAGUGAGGUCCUGUUCUCCGUGGGCCAUAGACAAAACAUUCCUAUAAUCCGAUUUCAAAGGAAAGAGUGUCCACCUUAUUUAAACCAUAAAACAAUUAAGCCCAGACGUCUAGCCAGCUCCGCGCUGCUGUUUUGUUCUGCCCCAUUCAGAAUCCAGCGCAGGGAGACAAACAGCGCCAUAAAAGUGGCAUUUCGGGACCGCGGAAAUGUACCUAUCCUCUGCCUUCCCAAGUGGAACAACCUUUAGGGUUUUGUGAUUCUGACAAAGGAGCAGAGGAGAGGUGGGAGGGGAAGAUUAGGGCGGGGUGGGGGGCGUUUGCCGGCCCCUCUCCCCCCGCCUCUUCCCCGGGCUUUCGCUGCUUUCCCCAGAUGUGUGUUGUGCUGUCGUGGCUUGGAGUCACAAAUGACAAUAAAUAAAAAUCGAAUCCAAUCCUGACCUGCA